rnacentral:rRNA from 1 species
UACGGAGGGAGCAAGCGUUACUCGGAAUCAUUGGGCGUAAAGGGCGCGUAGGCGAUUCGGUAAGUCUCAUGUGAAAGCCCACAGCCUAACUGUGGAAGUGCAUGAGAUACUGUCGAAUUUGAGUUCAGGAGAGGAAGGCAGAAUUCCCGGUGUAGCGGUGAAAUGCGUAGAGAUCCGGAGGAACACCGAAGGCGAAGGCAGUGUCCUGGCGAGUAUCCUGACGCUGAGGUGCGAAAGCCAGGGGAGCGAACGGG